ensembl:lncRNA novel transcript, antisense CCDC57
ACACCAGGCCCUGCGGCUGGUGCCAGGCUUGAGGGGCACUGAGGGGCCUUCUUGCUGUUGACCCCACAGGCAAAGGAAGGAGGGCAUGGAUCACAGGGCCCAUGUCCUAGUCACGUGAUUCUGCACACAGUGACCUGGGGGGCAGGGAGUGAACGAUUCUACUUCUCUCGGAUUCAGUUUCUGGUAAAAUGUUAUUUGGUAAAAGUUUAUUUUGAUGAUUCUCUAAAAUCUUUCCACAAAAUAAGAUUUCUACAGCCUGAGACAUAUUCAGGAAUGUCUUCACCACUGUGUGCUCCAAGGGCUGCCCACCCCCAGCAGGGCAGCAGCAGCUGUCCACCCAUCUGCCCCCACGCCUAGGACUGCCCCAGCACCCCACAGGUGAGGAGGAGAUGUCUCCAAGUAUCUGGACGAUUCGAAGAAAAUUCGAAGGAAACUUUGGUCUGCUGAAAUGUCUUCACGUCCUGAGGACAUGUAUGAGGUCCAGGGUCCCACGUGGCGUUUCUACGGAUGAUGACUUGAUGCCCGUCUCUCCUGUACAGAGCCCAGGGUCCCACG